rnacentral:lncRNA from 1 species
GGGGGAUGAGGGGACGCAGAGAAAACCACUGUGGCUGCAGGAGAGUGAGCAUGACAAAUUCCCAGAUGAGGUCAGAGAGGCCUGGGUGGAGAAGGGGGCAUCCAGACAGCUCAUGGAGCCUCUGUAGGCUCCUGUAAGGGCCUUGGUUUUUAUCCUAAGAGGGGAAGCCACUGGAGGUUUGGAGCAGGGGAGUGGUGAAAUGGGAUUUUAAGAGUUGUAACAGAAACACCAGCUGCUGUGAUGAGAACGGAAUUUAGGGGAACAAGAGUAGGAGCUGGAAGACCAGGGAAUCCAGGCAGGGAUAGUGAGGGAGGUGUUGAGAAGGGAUGGCAUUCCACAUGUAUUCUGAAGGUGGCCCCGAUGGGAUUUACUGAUGGAGUGGAUGUGGGGUGUGAGGGAAAGAGAGUCAAAGAUGACUCCUGGCUGGGCGCAGUGGCUCACAUCUGUAAUCCCAGCACUUUGGGAGGCCAGGGCAGGUGGAUCACGAGGUCAGGAGUUCAAGACCAGCCUGGCCAACUUGGUGAAACCCCAUCUCUAUUAAAAAUAAAAAAUUAGCCAGGCAUGGUGGCAUGUGCCUGUAGUCCCAGCCUCUCGGGAGGCUGAGGCAGGAGAAUCACUUGAACCCAGGAGGCAGAGGUUGCAGUGAGCCAAGAUUGCGCCACUGCACCCCAGCCUGGGCAACAGAGCAAGACUCUAUCUAAAAGAAAAAAAAAUGAUUCCUAAAAGUUUUUGGCCUGAGCAUCCUGAAGGAUGGAGAUGUCAUUAACUGAGAUGGGGAAGAUGAAGUAGGAGCAGGUUGGGGUCGAAGAGCAGGAGGUACUUUUGGGCUUGUGGCUUUGAGAGGUCUAUCGAGCUCCCAUGUGAGAUGUCAAGGAGGCUGGUAGUUAAAUGCCUGAACGUUCAAGGGAGCUAUCCAGGCCAGAGAGGUCAAUCUGAGAUUUGGGAUGGAGUUCAGAAACCCAGAGACUGAAAGUCACUUAGGAAGUGAAGGUGCUAGGACAGGAAGGGCCCCCAGAUGUGCCCUGGGAAACAAGGAAGCACCAAGAAGACCAUAAGGAGUGGCAGUGGAGAGAGGAGAAAAGCCAGGUGGGUAUCCUGGAAAGCAAAUGCGGAGGGUGCUUCAAGCAAGACAGAGUGGUCCAUUAAGUCACGCUGCUGAAAGGCCAAGAAAGAAGAGGACUUAGUCCUGGAGAACUUGUGAGCAUGGAGGGGAAGGCCCGUGGGAGAGGGUUUACAAGGCUGGAGACGGCUCUCCCUAGCUGCAGUGUCUCAUGCUCAGUUGUUACUCCUUACAGCUGGGGGAGCAUGCUCAGAGAAGUUAGGGAACUGCUGGUGAGUUGGCAGAGCUAGGCCCAGAGCCCUGGAGGCUCUAGAGUGUUCACAUGGUGGCCCCUGUUCCUCCGUCCAUUCUACAUCUCAUCCAUCAGACACCAGCUAGGUGUCCGUGUGUGCCAGCUGCUCUGCUGGGCCCUGGAGAGAUGGAGCUGACAUGUCUCUCAUCAAGGAGUUCACUACUAGAGGAACAUCCAGGGCCUUGGAGCCCAGCCCAUUCCACUGCAGGGCAAAUGGAAUGGCUGCAUGCCAGGGGCCUUGGAGCUGGAUCUGAAAGCAUGGAUGGGAUUUGGUCAGGCAGGGCAAGUAGGAUGGGGGAACGGAGGAGGAGGUGGCUGGACAUGCUGUUCAGUCACCACCAGGCCAUCUAGGGAAGUGCCUGGAUUUGAGGAGAGGCAGCAGGUACCAGAGCACUUAGAGCCAGGAAGCAGGGGCGCAGCAGCGGUAGAGGCGCCCCGCUGCAGGGAUCCCUUCAAGGAAGAACCUGCUGCACAUGCAGCGAGGUGACAGCCUCCAGCUGUGGGCACCUUCAGGCCCUGCUUCAGCUUUCAAGCCAGGGACUGAGUGUGGAGGUGGCUCAGGGCUCACCAGCUCCAGGCAGUACAUGUGCCGGAGUUUUCCCAGGAGCCGGCCAGGACUUCCUCGAGGCUGUGCUGGAGGUGGACGCUCU